rnacentral:rRNA from 1 species
AUUGAACGCUGGCGGCAGGCUUAACACAUGCAAGUCGAGCGAGCGGCGGACGGGUGCAUAGGGUCUGGGAAACUGCCUGAUGGAGGGGGAUAACUACUGGAAACGGUAGCUAAUACCGCAUCCCAUCAGAUCUGCACAGAUGGGAUUGGCUAGUAGGUGGGGGAAUGGCUCACAUAGGCGACGAUCCCUAGCUGGUCUGAGAGGAUUAACCGCCACCCUGGGACUGAGACACGGUCCAGACUCCGACGGGAGGCAGCAGUGGGGAAGAUUGCACAAUGGGCGCAAGCCUGAUACAGCCAGGCCGCGUGUGGGAAGAAGGCCUUCGGGUUGUAAAGCACUUUCAGCGAGGAGGCGUUACUCGCAGAAGAAGCACCGGCUAACUUCGUGCCAGCAGCCGCGGUAAUUC